CGGUUGCGUCGUCUUGAAGGUUGUGACAAUCGCAAUGUCUCAUCCGGUAAGUCAGCAAACGAAGGUUCUUGAGUUGAAUCCACUGGUUGUUGGCUCUCCAUGUAAUUAGCGUCACAAAUGCAAAGAAGUUACAAACAAGGAUAGGAAAUUGAAUGUUAUCUUGCCUCAAUCUUGUCUCUUUUAUAAGAGAGGUUUUUAUCUUGGUUUUGAUGGAUGUCGUUGAUGAAAAACUUUGACUUUAGCUGAUGCAUUUGCUAGAUUCCUGGAUGGCUCCCAUGUGCGCUCACUAAUAUCAUAUCC
rnacentral:lncRNA from 1 species